rnacentral:lncRNA from 1 species
AUGCAGGAGACAGAAGAAUCAAGGAGGGACACGUGUGAUGCCAAGAAUGGCACACAGCCCUCUGGAUGUCCCACCUGCUGCGAGCAAAGCAGAACAGUCAGCCCCAGAGUGCCAUUCUGGUCUCUCCUCUCAAAGGGGACCAAGCAGAACUUGAUGAGAAACAGCAAAAGGCUACAUGGAUGGUCAAAGCGAUGCUGUGGUAUCCGCACCAAGCAGGAGCUGAGAUCCUUCAGGCAGUGAACGACUAGAGACAGGCUGGGUGACGGAGGUGAGUGCUAUUGAACUGGGAACUAAGGAGUGAUUAUUCACUCUUUCUUUCAGUACAACAACUGCUGCCAAGUGGAAGCAGCAGGAUUAAAAAUGGGAAGAGAAAUUCUUUGUGCUGUGUAGAGCCAAACUGCUGGACUCCUCGCCUUGGUGUAUGUGGGUGCUAACUGCUUAAAAAGAAAGGGGUUCAAAAGAAAGCUCAAAAAUGCAUGGGUCAUUGGGGUGGGAGGAAGGUGACCUGCCUUGCACUUAUGUUUGUGUCCUUGUAUUUAAGGCAGUUUACAGUAAGAUCUAGAAACACUGAGGGUGACGUUUCCUGCAGUAGGUGUGUGCUGUAGGAAGGCUGGUGGCAUUAUCAGAAGAAUCUUCUAGAGAUCAAACAAGGCCCUUUCCUCUGAGAGAGGAAGGGUGGGCGCACACAUGGGUUUUCAACACUUGAUUUAUUUUUACAAUCCUCUCUUUUCCCACCUCCCCCUCCAAGGUAUCUUGGAAGCCAAGACUGACACCUGCCAGGAUGUGAGAUGCCCAGACAAAAUCAGAAUGAUCCUCUCCAAAGCUGGAGCGGAGGAGGACCGGCUUCUGGCCUGCUGAGAUCAAAGGGCCAGCUGGGGCUGCGGCUGUAGGACCGGGCCAUUCCCAGGUGCAGGGACUGUUGAGGUGUCAGUCACGUCCCCCCACACAGAGUCAUACGCAGCCACUCGGCGUAUGACUUUGGGGCAGCUGGUGGCAGCCAAGGCUCGGCCUGCACACCCCCUUCCUUGAGAAGCAUGACGGAAGGGAUUAAGUGGCUUGUAAGGUGACACGGGGUUGAUCAGCCCUCAGCGGCGUGGUGGGAGGGGAGGUGCUGCAGAUGCUUUCCAUCUCUGCUCUUGGUCUCCUGUUCACUCGCUGAAGCCCAGAGGCUGAUUCCACUGGAGCUAUUGGAGCAGCUCCUAUGCC